AGUGCUCCGAGUGUUUAUAGUCUUGUCAACACUUUUAACAAAUGCUGACAACUGUUCACUCUAAAACAGAAGCAAAUAUGAUUCUCUUCAUCUGGGCAUUUUACUGCAUUCAAGGUUCUUUUGGGCAGGUUGUUGUGACUCAGUCUGAGGUUAAAUCAGUUCAGCUCGGUCAAACAGUCUCUAUCGAUUGUAAGGUCAACACUGUAGUUUAUAGGUUUCCAACAGGCUCAGUAUCCAAAGAUUACUACAUCUCCUGGUAUCUUCAGAGGCCAGAUGAAACCCCUAAACUCCUCAUAUAUUUUACAACAAUGAAGCCUUCAAGUGCUUCAUCUAGAAUCAGUGGUGGAGGCAGUUUUCACUCUGGAGGAAAUGGUCUUGAUUUCACUCUGACCAUAAGUGAUGCCCGGCUUGAAGAUGCAGGAGAUUAUUACUGUCAGAGUUACCAUGAAAUCAGUGGUAAAGCAGUGUUCACACUGUGAAAAGUUCCCUUACAAAAACCUACCUUGGUCAGACUACCAAGAAUCCUCUGAUGCAUCUGAGACCUACAGGUGCUGAAAGCAGAACAAAAACAGGGGCAGCAAUAAGAUACAAACAGAUGUUCUAUUUAAUCAA